GGAUGUGAGGGCGAUCUGGCUUCGACGUCUGUCACCCAUUGAUGGCCAGAGUUGAUUCGGCUGAUCUGGCUGGCUAGGCGGGUGUUCCCUUCCUCCUUCACCGCUCCAUGUGCGUCCUUCCGGAAGCUGUGUGCUAGGUCAAAGAGGGCGACCACCCCGGACAGAGGAGGACCGUUUCCUCAGUCAAGGGUAUACAAGUAGCUGCGCUCCCCUGCUAGAACCUCCAAACAAGCUCUCAAGAUGGGCCGAGAGUGCUGCUGUACCAGGCUUGCUUCUUUAUUCUGAGAACCAAA
rnacentral:snRNA from 1 species